CUGUGUAGUUCGCUUGCCUCUGCUCCUGAGACACCCCGUCUCUCCAAUGCAAACAUAUCCUGAAAGAAUAUUAUAGGCAGAAACACAUUGCAAAAUGUGCUGCACAUCAAGAAAUGCUUUGUAAAAACAAAACAGCAGGACUGGACAUAGCCUGUCACCUCCCCAAAUUAAUUAAUGCUCCUGGAUGGCAAUCUCUCAAGGCUCAUACUGAGGCCAGCUCCAUAUAAUAAAUAGAAUGUGGGCAAAAAAGUAAUACCAUAAAUUAAUGACAAGUAUUGUAGAGAAUAUUUGAAACACUUGAAAUAAGACCUCUAGGAGAUCUGCAUUUCAAUAAUAAGCCAAAGCAGUAAGUGAGGGAGGAAGGAAGGAAGGAAGGAAGGAAGGAAAGAAGGAAGGAAGGAAUAUUUCUGUUCUUUCCGGGGUAAAGUCAUUUAUUACUCUCCAAGCAAAAGGUUGUAUACAAUUUAAUACGGGUAGAUACAGGUGUGUGAAAUCAAACCUGUACAGGGAAAGGCCCACAACAGCAAUCAGAUGUGCAUAGACUGGGGUAAAGCAAUAUGAAAACCAUGGUAUCACUGCACUCAACAAAAAAGAAGGUUCGUCUUGAAUAUAGCAAAGUGCUGUCAGCAGCGGUACACACAGUGUUGCAAGAACACUGAGGUCUACAAUGCAAUAGGAGCCAGUUUGGGGAAUGUAAUAGCUGUCUUGUCCUGAAUAACUGCAAUUCACAGAAAUCUGUCAUUAUCUAAGAAAUGUGGAUAGCAACACCUACACUCACAGGGGUGAAUGGGAUCCUUUCAGCUAACUCAAAGAUUUUCCUAUCACAUUAUCUCUAAAGAAUGAGGAGAAAUCAAGUUCAUGUAAUUGAGUUUGUUCAGCAUGCAGGUAUUUGAAAGCAAUGAAAGUUAGUUAGACCCUUGGUAUCAUUAGUGAGUGGUUUCAGAGAAGGAAAAGCUGUCCCAAAGCACCAUGAAGGAGCUCAGCAACACUUCUGAAAUGAGCUGCAGCUUGGACAUCAGUGCAGCGGGUCACACUGGAGGAAAUCCCUUCUCACAGCACAUUUUGACUGUUCUCACAAAUCAGUCAGAUAGCCUCCCAUCUGUCUUUUUCAAAGGUAUUUUCUGCAUCCAAGACAAAGGCUUGUUAGAAAAGCCUAUUAGAAUCCUAACAGUUGAUCAUUGCGGAGUUAAUCUAUUUUAUUAAGGUUCAUUUAAUAGCUUUUUGCUAGGUUUCAGUGCCUGAACUAAAGGAUCUUCAUUAGUUUGCAGAUAUUAUGCCUUGUCCCUAAGUGCAUGUAUCUGGAAGUACCCCAGUAGAUAUCUAAGGUACACGAGCCCCAAGAAAUUUUCCACAGUGAAUGACAGUGCUUGGAAUACCAAAUUCAUUCUUGCUUACACAAAGCAUUUUUUCUAAUUCUAGGAACGCAUUUUCUAGGAACGCAUUUCAUGGGCGCAACUGGGAAGAAGAGGGCCAAGACCACAGCAUCAAACGGUGGUUCCACCUGCCCUAUAAUCCCAUGGGAGCAGGCCUAACAGAUCAAAUGGGAUCCUGAAGGCCACCCUGAAGGCAGAUUCAUAGUCCUUGCAGGUGUGGACUUGCAGGGGUGAGACCUUGUGGGACUUGAAGGAGAGACCAGGAGAUGGCAGACCCAGUGCUUCAGGAACAUUGCAGACCACUUGGGCCUCCCCCCUUAGGAUACAAAUUAAGGCAAGGACACCUUACUCAAGCCACAAGUUGGCACCAUGAAUCACCUUGUGCUCCCUUCCCUUGAGGACCUAGAGCCUCAGAAACACAAGGUGAAAUGGCCUUGGAAGUGCAAGUAGGACUGAAACGGUGUCAUCUACUUGCACCUUGGAGGAAUUUGUUAGAGGUAAACCCUAUGGUUAUCACUACACGGCCAGUAAAGAUAGUAGCUGACACUCCAAUUUUCAUCACAAAGAGAGCAUUAAACAUGGCCACCUGGCAAACUAGAACCCCCACCCCCCUGUACUACCUGAUAUAGUGAUCCAGCCCCAGAUAUCAGGACAAAGGAUGUUGGACCAAAGGCCAGGACAUGCCCCAGCACAAGUGGAGCUGUUGGACUCAAGACCAAAACGCAGCCUGUGUCCUGCCACUGAAGGCAGACCCACCACUCCUCAUACCUUUGAAACAUCUGUACUACUCCCCUUGAGGCUGUGAAGUCCACAGGACCACUGGUAGGAGCAUCGACACUUCAGCGUGCUUCAGUGUCUACGAGGGAACGCAUUUUCUAGGAACGCAUUUCAUGGGCGCAACUGGGAAGAAGAGGGCCAAGACCACAGCAUCAAACGGUGGUUCCACCUGCCCUAUAAUCCCAUGGGAGCAGGCCUAAUAGAUCAAAUGGGAUCCUGAAGGCCACCCUGAAGGCAGAUUCAUAGUCCUUGCAGGUGUGGACUUGCAGGGGUGAGACCUUGUGGGACUUGAAGGAGAGACCAGGAGAUGGCAGACCCAGUGCUUCAGGAACAUUGCAGACCACUUGGGCCUCCCCCCUUAGGAUACAAAUUAAGGCAAGGACACCUUACUCAAGCCACAAGUUGGCACCAUGAAUCACCUUGAGCUCCCUUCCCUUGAGGACCUAGAGCCUCAGAAACACAAGGUGAAAUGGCCUUGGAAGUGCAAGUAGGACUGAAACGGUGUCAUCUACUUGCACCUUGGAGGAAUUUGUUAGAGGUAAACCCUAUGGUUAUCACUACACGGCCAGUAAAGAUAGUAGCUGACACUCCAAUUUUCAUCACAAAGAGAGCAUUAAACAUGGCCACCUGGCAAACUA